ACUCCCAGAUAUUACUAAUAUAGAAAUUAAAUAGCUUCUGUAUAUGACAAUGUAAACAAGUCGCACGAAAUUUUGGUUUCCCAGUGCAUAUAAAGUUAUGUUUACACAAUACUGUAGUCUAUUAGAGUGCAAUAGCAUUAUGUCUAAAGAAACAUUGCGAGAAUUACCAAAAUGUGACACAGAGACAAAAUGAACACAUGCUAUUGGAAAAAUGGCGGCGAUAGACCUGCUCGAUGCAGGGUUGCCAUAAAUCUUCAAUUUGUAAAUUACGCAACGUCUAGAGAUGUGAUGAAGGGGGAUUGAUGGCGUCAGAGUGGUGUGGCGUGGCCGUACGUUUGUUCUUUUGGUGUGGUUAAUAGUUAAAAGCUGGAUUUUUGUGUUCAGUAGAUUAUUCAAUGUGUUUCGACCAUAAUCAGUGGCGUUCGGCGAUACCUGGGUAAGUG